UUAUAUGGAGAGUUUGAUCCUGGCUCAGGAUGAACGCUGGCGGCGUGCCUAAUACAUGCAAGUCGAGCGAACAGAUAAGGAGCUUGCUCCUUUGACGUU
rnacentral:rRNA from 1 species